rnacentral:rRNA from 1 species
AUUGAACGCUGGCGGCAGGCUUAACACAUGCAAGUCGAGCGGAGAUGAGGUGCUUGCACCUUAUCUUAGCGGCGGACGGGUGAGUAAUGCUUAGGAAUCUGCCUAUUAGUGGGGGACAACAUUCCGAAAGGAAUGCUAAUACCGCAUACGUCCUACGGGAGAAAGCAGGGGACCUUCGGGCCUUGCGCUAAUAGAUGAGCCUCAGUCGGAUUAGCUAGUUGGUGGGGUAAAGGCCUACCAAGGCGACGAUCUGUAGCGGGUCUGAGAGGAUGAUCCGCCACACUGGGACUGAGACACGGCCCAGACUCCUACGGGAGGCAGCAGUGGGGAAUAUUGGACAAUGGGCGGAAGCCUGAUCCAGCCAUGCCGCGUGUGUGAAGAAGGCCUUUUGGUUGUAAAGCACUUUAAGCGAGGAGGAGGCUACUUAGAUUAAUACUCUAGGAUAGUGGACGUUACUCGCAGAAUAAGCACCGGCUAACUCUGUGCCAGCAGCCGCAGUAACAC